GAGAACUUAUUCUUCGAGAAGGGGAAUGACGCCAUCAUGCUGGCUGAAACCUUUCCUCUAAAGCUCCUGCAUGCAAGGAAUAAUAAUAGUUUGAACUUGUGUGAAGUCAGGUAAAGUCGGCUGAGAGUUGCCCUAACAGGUUAAGCUGAGGAACAUGUUCUGGAGGCAGAAUACGCAAUCUAUAGGCCGGGAGGCUAUAAG
rfam:Enterococcus sp. HSIEG1 chromosome, whole genome shotgun sequence.